AACCCCAAACAUUUAGACCGUUGUAUAAAAGUCCAUUUUGAUUUGACCAUUUUUGGGAGGGAUCAUCAGUGUGGAUGAUUCUGGAUGAUGAUUUCUUCUUCCUCCUCUGGUUGCUGCAUGUCAGCGAUGAGGGCCGAUGAUUCAGCCGCAUGUGUAAAUUCCGGCCCAAUCUGAACCGGCAUUAAGGAUCUAAAGAGGAAGGUCACAUCCAAAAACUUUGAGUCGUCCAGAAUCGUCUGCAUUGACCCCACUGCCGAACCCACUCUAAAUGAAGACAUCAUCAUCAUCCAGGAAGGAAUCAUGCUUCAUAUGGUCAAAACUAUUGUAAUAUGGCAAGGUAAGCUGAUUUUAAGUUUUUUUGGUCAACCUCAUUAACUCACAGUUUCAGAUAACUCACGAUCCGAUUUUGUGGACUCCAACUUACACCAGUUAACGAGGUUUACCUGUAUAGUUUGAAAUUAGCUUGUUUGUCAAUUUCUUUCAUUUGUACCAGAAAGAUUCAGUAGGCAAUGUAAAAUUGUAUAUUUUAAUUCAUUAAGAUAAUAUCAAGAAAGAACAGUCUUUGGUGCAGGUCCCCACCACGGCAAAGAAUGGAGGUAUGAUGAUCUCGAAUCUGGCCAUUGGAAAAGGCAGGGGCAGAGCCUACCCCUGGGCAGCAGACAGGGACCAGCUGGUGACAGUGGGGUAGAGGGGUGAGCGUCUGGCUGGAGAUCUGCAAACAGCGAGAGGUGAGUGACAGCAUGACAGUUUAAGGAAUGUGCGUGUUUCUUAUUGUUUGAGAGUUGAUGAUUAACAGGGUCAUCUGCCUCUGUUACAGCUGUUCUUAAUGAACUGGUUCUGAAUGAAUACUAAAAAUCUGAGGUUUCUGGUAGAAUUUGUGCUUCACUGCAUUUCCAGAGCCUAUGUCUAGUGGCCACCAAGGCCACCACUGUUUGUGGGCUACAGA